GUCCAGACUCCUACGGGAGGCAGCAGUGGGGAAUAUUGCACAAUGGGGGAAACCCUGAUGCAGCGACGCCGCGUGAGUGAAGAAGUAUCUCGGUACGUAAAGCUCUAUCAGCAGGGAAGAUAAUGACGGUACCUGACCAAGAAGCCCCGGCUAACUACGUGCCAGCAGCCGCGGUAAUACGUAGGGGGCAAGCGUUAUCCGGAUUUACUGGGUGUAAAGGGAGCGUAGACGGUGCAGCAAGUCUGAUGUGAAAGGUCGGGGCCCAACCCCGGGACUGCAUUGGAAACUGUUGAACUGGAGUACAGGAGAGGGAAGCAGAACUCCUAGUGUAGCGGUGAAAUGCGUAGAUAUUAGGAGGAACACCAGUGGCGAAGGCGGCUUACCGGACUGUAACUGACGUUGAGGCUCGAA
rnacentral:rRNA from 1 species